rnacentral:rRNA from 1 species
UACGUAGGGUGCAAGCGUUGUCCGGAAUUAUUGGGCGUAAAGAGCUCGUAGGCGGUCUGUCGCGUCUGCUGUGAAAACUCAGGGCUUAACCCUGAGCUUGCAGUGGGUACGGGCAGACUAGAGUGCGGUAGGGGAGACUGGAAUUCCUGGUGUAGCGGUGAAAUGCGCAGAUAUCAGGAGGAACACCGGUGGCGAAGGCAGGUCUCUGGGCAUUAACUGACGCUGAGGAGCGAAAGCAUGGGGAGCGAACAGG